rnacentral:rRNA from 1 species
UCGAGAAUAAUUCGCAAUGGACGAAAGUCUGACGAUGCGACGCCGUGUGAACGAUGAAGGCCUUCGGGUUGUAAAGUUCUGUCAACUUGGAACAAGGUAUAUGAGGGAAUACGUCAUAUGCUUGAGGGUACAAGAGGAGGAAGCACCGGCUAACUCCGUGCCAGCAGCUGCGGUAAUACGGAGGGUGCAAGCGUUAGUCGGAAUAACUGGGCGUAAAGGGCGCGUAGGCGGGAAUAAAAGUCAAACGUGAAAUUUCAAAGCUCAACUUUGAAGCUGCAUUUGAAACUGUAUUUCUGGAGGGAUGGCGGAGAAAGUGGAAUUCCACGUGUAGCGGUGAAAUGCGUAGAUAUGUGGAAGAAUACCUGUGGCGAAAGCGACUUUCUAGCCUAAACCUGACGCUGAGGCGCGAAAGCAAGGGGAGCAAACAGGAUUAGAUACCCCCGUAGUCC